UCUGCUAUUGGCUGGGAUCUCUGGAGAGCUAGUAACAUGCUCCCUCCAUCCUUGAAAUAUAAGACGAUUCAAAUUUUGUACUCAAAUAUGAGGCAUCUAGGAAUUUCGGACAACUUUGAGUAUUUAAUUACCGUUUCUUUCUCCCAUUGACAGCCGUAUCCGCUCGAGAAAAAUCUCCACCUCACGAGACUUUCCUAAUCCC
rnacentral:lncRNA from 1 species